rnacentral:rRNA from 1 species
UGGGGAAUUUUGGACAAUGGGCGCAAGCCUGAUCCAGCCAUGCCGCGUGCGGGAAGAAGGCCUUCGGGUUGUAAACCGCUUUUGUCAGGGAAGAAAUCUUCUGAGUUAAUACCUCGGGAGGAUGACGGUACCUGAAGAAUAAGCACCGGCUAACUACGUGCCAGCAGCCGCGGUAAUACGUAGGGUGCAAGCGUUAAUCGGAAUUACUGGGCGUAAAGCGUGCGCAGGCGGUUUUGUAAGACAGAGGUGAAAUCCCCGGGCUCAACCUGGGAACUGCCUUUGUGACUGCAAGGCUUGAGUGCGGCAGAGGGGGAUGGAAUUCCGCGUGUAGCAGUGAAAUGCGUAGAUAUGCGGAGGAACACCGAUGGCGAAGGCAAUCCCCUGGGCCUGCACUGACGCUCAUGCACGAAAGCGUGGGGAGCAAACAGGAUUAGA